UCUAAUCUCACCAUCACUCCAAUACUUGACCAUAUUUCCAUUUGUCCUAGCAAAAUUACAAGAAAAAAUGAAAAGGCUUCCAUUCAAGUAAUGAAUUUGAAGGGUUCUCAGGUUGGAAAACGCCAUUUUCACCGAGCCAUUUCUCAAGAUGCAAAACUUCUGCAUCCAAUCCCCACAGGAUUUUCUCUCUCCCCAUCGAAAAAGGUAAAAAGCAUAUCAUAUCCCUUUUCUUUACAUCGAAUCCAUCGCCAGAUGAACAAAUGUUUGGGUCCUUCAACAGGGAAGGUAAAACCAGUAAUGUCAUUAUGCACCAAAACAGUUGAAAUAUAGUUAACCUUUUGUCGAUAAAUAAAUUUCAUUUGAAUAACGGAUGACCUCAGGCACGGCAGGAUAUAGCCCCAGAUGACCUCAGAGCUGCAUGGUGAUACUGCAAUUUGUGGAGUACCACUUCAGUCAACCUGGAGGUAAUUCUGCAAUCGAUAUGCUGUCUUCUGUUUUGGUUGCUUCCUUUAUUUCUCGAGCAAGUUUUUCUUGCAGGGAAGAACUGUAAGAACCCAGUCCCCUUUUUUUCCCUCCUCCACAAUUUUAAAGCAGAAGCCAAAAAAAACUUGAACCUCGCAUGAGGAGGACUCCCGAUGGAGUCCGCCUCCUCUCCCCGAGUUCGAUCCGGACAGGGAAUCUGGAGCUCACCAGAUCUCUAGUUUCCGGUUAUAACAAGUCAUCCCCUUUCUCUAAGCAACUCGCCUCCAAUCCUCGAUCAACACCGGCGAAAAUCCGAGGGAGAUUGUUCGAUUUCCCGUUGAGAUCUCUCGGUUAAUUGCUGUUGAUUUCCUCGUCGGAGCAAGGUAAUCAACUCCCUCUCUCUUACAUUCCUAUUUCUAGGUCUCUGAAUCAACGUCGACAGUCCGAUUGUAACCGGCAAUCGCCGGAUUGUGUCCUUUCCCCUGCUUUUACGUUUUCUCCUCUCCUUUCUUUUUCCACCGGACCGGUUGCCGUCGUUGUGGGCCAUUGCUGCUGCUGUGUGCCACCGGGUGGUGCCAUUGUUGUGGAUACGGUGCCGGAGGCCACUGCCGCCAAAGUUCACUGCCGUGGGAUGUGGGCGACCUAAAACUUUCUCUCCCUGUUCUUCUUUCUUUUGUUCUUCUAUCGAGCCGGCCGCCAUUGCUGGACAUGGCUGUACUCAGGCUACCGAGAGUUGGAUCCACCGGGUCGUUGCCACCAUGAGUCGCUGCCGUCAAGGGCUGCGGCCAUGGAAGGUGGUCGACCCAGGAACGAACUUCCCCUGUUCUCUCUCUCCCCCCCCCCUUCCUCUCUCCCCCUUAUCUCACUUCACUUGCUUUUCUUAAUUUCUCUCACCACUUUCUCUCUAUAAUUUUCUCUCCCUUUAUGAAUUUCUCUCUCUAAUAAUCAUAUAGAAUAAUAGAGGGUCCAGAUGUCUCAAGAAAUUUGGAUUGACCAAUUAAUCCUAAGAGGGUCCUGAAUCUAUUAUGUUAUGGCCGUUUACCAUAAUUUUCCACCACCUCGAAUCAUUUUUGAUUUUUAUAUUUAAACCUGAUAAUAUAGAGAUGCAAUUAUUUACAUAGAAUGUCGAGCAAAAUAUCUUAAUCUCGAGUUCAUAGAUCGAAAGAUUGAUUGAUUAUUGUGUUUGAGUCUGAGACUAAAAGAAAUAAGAAGCUCUUUACAUGAUCUCAUGUAUAUAUGGUUUUUUUGAAUUAUUCAUGAUAAUUUUUGAUUUCACAUCGAAUUGAAUAUAUGAUUUCUUAUUAUAUUUGUACCAUGUGUUAACUAUUUGGUUGUUGAGAAUAAAAUAGCAAAUAUUUGAAAUUAAGCAAGAAAUAUAAUAUGAAAUUAUUGAUUAUUGAAUGAUGUAUUGAUUGUGUUAGAGGAUUUGGACUAGCUAUGAUGUGGAUUAUCGAUUACAAGUCGAAUCAUGAUAUCUUAGAUUGUCAUACAUAAAUCAAUCAUGAUACCCAGGUUUGUCACCAUGGGUCGAAGUAUGGACUUUCUGGUUAGCCACCAUAGGCCAAAGGGCAGAUAUUUUGAUUUGCCAGACGGAUCAAAGCACAGUUAUUAUGGAUUGCUAUCAUGGGCUGAAGCAUGGUUUAUAGUUUGCCUGUUACGAGUCGAAGCGUGACCAUAACUAGUCCAAACUAAAAGAGAACGAUUGAUUUGGAACAUAUAUAUUAAUGAAAUAUAAAUAAUAAGUUGUAUCAACUUAUAUGUGAUAUUUAUGAUGGAUUUGUGACAAUGCAUGAUUCGUGAUAUAUAUUUAUGUAACUAUUGAGUUAUAUUGGAUGUCUCACAUGAGAUUUUAUGGCUUAUAAUUUUUUUUGAUAUUGCUCAUUCAUUAUUGUUAAAUUAUAUUAUUAUAUUGAUAUAUAUGUGAUAUGAUUCUUUUUAGGUUGUAAAGUUCAUAAUUCUUUUUUUUUUUCAGAGUUACAGCAUAGCAUUGGUGGAUUGGGUGUAAAGUUCAAGUACCAUAGUUAUUAGUUCAUUAAUUAGUUCAGUUUCUAAUAUCGAUGGACAUUUGAAUAAUUAUAAUUGAACAAGUUUAUUUGAAUAUGAUGAAUUUAUUUAGUUAGCAUAUUUGGUCAUUUAUUGUUAAAUUUUGAUUUUACAUGAUCUUUAGGGCAUUGCUCUAGAAUUCAUAUGGCUGUAUCAUGUGACCGAACCAGAUGUUAGGUUCGAGGCAUGAUAGAAAUUGUAUCAGAUCUUAGAUUAUGAUCACUUGAAACUGUGAGAUAAGUGCUUAGGGUAUGACAUAAGUGAUAUUGAACUUAGGGUUAUAAUCACUAAGGAUUAUGAUAGAAGUGAUUUAUGGGGUUUGGCUUUUGAUGGACAAUUUGUGUCUUAAGUUAUAAUUUGAGGAGUUUGACAAAUUUAUGGUCUUUUGAUCGGAAGUUAUUUAGUGAAUCUAGAAAGUUUGGUGGGUUUAGAUCAAAGUGCAUAACAAAAGUAUGGUGGUUUAAGUCAUUUAAAUUUGAUAAAAACUAUUGGUUCUAAUUUAAAAGGGUAUUAUGAUAGAAGAUUGAAUUUUUUUUUUGAGUGAAGAAGGCUAUUUAUAAGCUCAAGGAUAAGAUAAGAAUUUUGUAUCCUUAAGAUUUUGGUAUUGCGAUAUGCUUGAGGAUGAAUUAUUUUACAAAGAGAGGAGAAUGUAAGAACCCAAUCCCUUUUUUCCUCUCGCCUGAAUUUAAAGCAGAACCCAAAAAAAGGACUCUUGAACCUCACAUGCUAGGCACAUGAGGUGGAAGAGGACUCCUGAUGGAGUCUGCCUCCUCUCCUCAAUUUCAAUCUGGACUAGGAACCUAGAGCUCAUCGAAGCUCUAAUGUCAAGUUAUAAAAGGCCAUCCCCUUCCUCUAAGCACCUUGCCUCCAAUCCUCGAUCAACACCAGUAAAAAUUUAAGGGAGAUUGUUAGAUUUCCCAUUGAGAUCUCUCAAUUAAUUGCUGUUGAUUUCCUUGCUGGAGCAACAUAAUCAACUCCCCUCUCUUUUCCAUACCUAUUUCUAGGUCUCUCAAUCAACGUCGAUGGUCUGAUUAUCACUGACAAUCUCCAAAUUAUGUACUUUUCUCUGCUUUUACCUUUUCUUCACUCUGUUUUUCCAUCGGACCAAUUGUUGUCAUUGUGGGCAGUUGUCAUUGCUGUCUACUGUUGGGUGGUCACUAUUGUCAUGGAUUCAUGAUAUAUAUUUAUAUAACUAUUGAGUUAUAUUGGAUGCUUCACAUGAGAUUUUGUGGCUAAUAAUUUUUCUUGAUACUGCUCAUCCAUUAUUUUUAAAUCAUAUUAUAUAUUGGUAUAUGUGUGAUGGGAUUCUUACUGAACUGUAAAAUUCACACCUCCAAUUCUUUUUUUCCUUUCAGAAUCAUAGGACGCAUAGCAUGGUCGGAUUGGGUGUGAAGUUUGAGUAUGAUAGUUAUUAGUUCAUUAGUUAGUUCAGUUUCUGAUAUCGAUGGACAUUUAAAUAAUUAUAAUUGAACAAGUUUAAUUGAUUAUGAUGAAUCUAUUUAGUUGGCAUAUUAGGUCAUUUAUUAUUAAAGUUUGAUUUUAUUGGAGGUUUUAAAGGUCUUGCAUGAUCUCUAGGGUAUCGCUUUAGGGUUCAUACGGCCAUGUCACAUGACCAAAUCAAGUGACGGGUUUGGAGUGUGAUAAGAAGAACCAAGAAAGGGUGAUUGCCAUCGUGUCUCUCCCAGCAAUUAUGGAGUUCAAUAUUAUGUCUCCAAGGUACUGAUCAUUGAAAUUCUUUGGAUCCUUCUUCUUCUCUACCAGGAACCUCGACGAGAUAUCCUCUUUCUUCACCUAGAAUCCAAACAGCCACAUACAGCAUAGCAAGAGAAAGGGAUUAUAUAAAACUUUCAGCUACAAUCAUGAAAAAUUUGUCUUCCAAUUCACAAUGUCAUUUGUUGCUCAAGCAUGGACAAUGUUUUUCUAUGAAUCAGUUUGCAUGCAAAGCCAUCGAUCACUUUGAUGUUUUUCUUCAGCUAUGCUUCUGAUCCAAUGCCUAGAAAUCUCUUAAUUUUCAAAAAAUAUCCACAUAGCGCCAUAGGAUUAGAUCGCUUGAAUCAUCAAAUAAUUAUUUAAAAUAAUUUGACAAGUCUCUCCCUCUCUUGCACACUCCCUCACUAAUGGAAAAAAUGAAGCAGAGCAGCACAAAGAUAAGUUUGCCAAAGAAAUUGUAGGCCAAGAUCCUCACAACCGGCGGAGGCCGAGCCUGUUAAUGAGGGAACACCAUCACUCAUGUAGGCUUCCCAUUUGGAUACCAUUCGCUAAUAUCUAUUAGGUCGAUGUCGAGCUUUAUUCCUUUCUCUGCUCUAUUUUUCCUCUCAUUUUUCCCCCACUGACCGAUCACCAUCAUUGCCACCACCAUCGCUGGUCUUUUAACCAACGUUCCACUGGAUGCCACCUUCCUCCCCUUUCUUCCUUUCCUAAGAUAGCCCAAUGAGACCUCUAUUCUGAGGCUCUCAUCCUCUCAUCUUCUCUCUCAUUUUCUCUCUCUCUUCUUCUUUCUCGCUCUUCUUCACUUGCUUUCUUGAUAAAGAGGUCUAUCAAGAUCAUAGGGGGGGGGUGGGGGAAGAGAGAACAGUUCCCACUUUGGGCACUACAAGACUCUAUCAUCAUGAACCUUUAUUUUAUUAUCAUCACUCAUCAAAUUCUUAUUUUAUGAUUUGAUUAGCUGGAUUGUCUGAUUUAAUCAAUCUAGCCUAUUGGACACCGCCACCUAGCUUACCUUGUUCAUUAAACUCUUCCCUCUAUAUUUCUACAAUUGCUUAAUAAAAAAAAAAGAAGAGGUCGAGCAAAUGGGUAUGACACUAUAGUCUACAAAUCAAGAUUUUUUAGAGAGAAUUCUUGGAAUUAUUUGGAUUUUUCUAUAUACUUGUAAGGUAAUUAAUGAUUUGCCUUUUCCAAAAUUCAUAUAAAAUUUGGGCACUAAAUGAGUUGUGAGCUGCUUAUAUGCAAUUAUGAAUUUCAUGGAUUCAUAUUCAAUGAACAAAUUUAUGAUUCGGAAGUCAUGUGGCGGAAGUAAUGAAAGCAUAUUAUAGUCCGCGUUUUGUUAUAGAUUAUUAUACAUUAUGAAUCUUAUAUGAAAUAUGCAUAUUUUAAGUAGAAUAUGAUAUAUAUUAUUCUAUAAAAAGCAUUAAUAUGUAAUAAAUUUGGACUCUUAGCAUGACUAUGUGAUAGACCUUGCCGGGUAGGAGUUAUGCUUAAGUACAUUGGCUGUUUCGAGACUAAUUAUUCUGGCCCUCCCAAAAAGUAUAAAUAUAUUAUUCUAGUCCUAUUGGUAGAAAAAGUUUGUUGAAUUAAAAUUAUGAUAUUCUUCUUUAAAAUUGUUCUAUGAGUAUGAAUAUGAACAUGAACAUGAUAUUUUAAAUUAUUCUUAUGAAUAUGGACUAGGCAUUUGAAAAAUUAUGGAUAUUUUAUCUUUCAUUAUUCAAACAUAUUGACAUUUUUAAUAUACUUAGUAUUAAUAAGAAAACUUAUUUGAAUUAUUUACUUAAGGUACUCAUUACUUACUAGAAUUUUGAGCUCAUUAUUUGGACUUUUCUUUUAUUAUAAUUUCAUAGAACAAGUCAUUGAUGGGUACUUUUACGGACGUAUAAUUAGAAGCUAGAGCUGGUUGUACAAAUGUAGCUUAGAAUUAGUAGUGCUUUCUUAGUUUAAUACUAGAAACAUAUUAUAGAUUCCUUAUUUUGAUCUAUGUUUGAAGAAUAGUUGAUUUGAGACCCUUAUGAGAAAAAAUUCUGGACAUUUCUUAUUAGCUUGGAUAGAUUAAUUAUUGGAAUUUGGAAUUUGAAUUUAACUUAAUUUUAUUCCACUAUGCUAUUGAUGAUAUCAUGAUGGGGAAAGUGUUUUAUAAGUCUGUGGGGGUUUCCAUUUCCCUAGCUGAUAAUUGGAGCAGGCGUAUGACAAAGCACCAAAGAUCAACCUACUUGUUUACAUUGCAUUUUAGCUAAUAAUGGUAUCCAGGAUAUGUAAAGAUUAAACCACGUGCAAGUUCAAGGCAGGAUAACGAUGAAGUGUCUCUAGCUAAACAUCCUACACUAUGGUGAUAACUCAGAGGCUGAAGUCUUAACACCAUGUUGGAAAAUAGAGCAAGUAAGUCUGAAGAUUGCUCACCACAAGAUUCAUCACUUCACAAGCCAAGCAAGUAGAGUGUCUGCUAUUACAAUCUCUUAGAUGGCAAUCUUUCUAAGAUGAAAGAUACAAAUCAUAGAUGGACUACUAUGAUGUGUGGUCAUGUUAAAAGAUCAAUUCUCAACAAGAAAAAUCUUGAAGCACUUGGAGAAUGGUCAUACAUAUAGAAUCCUAUCAAAAUUUGGUGGGAUCACAACCUCUCAUAUUGCAACCAUUCAUAUACCAUAUUUUUAAAAGACAAUACUAAUCACUGCAAGGCACCACAAUAGACACUUAGACUAUGGUAUGGAUAGAUACUUCAAAGGACCAAUUCGAGAUUAUUUAUGAAAAAGAAAAUCCCCAAGAGUUUUGUUCCCCCAAAAUAUAACAAUUAAAAGAUAUAUUGCAGCAACUUUAUAGCCAUGAUAAAUAGACAGAGAAUAUUUAUAACAUAAGAAGGAAAAAAAGAAUAGAGAAAAAUAAAAAAGAAACAAAGAAAAAGAAAAAGUAAAUUUUUUACAAGGGCUCUUAAUAUAAUUAACAUUUAAUAGAUCUCAUGUCUGAAAGUGGAAUCCACUUCUAAGCACCAUAUAAUUCAGCCACCAUCAUAUAUCUACUUAGACUCAAUUAUCUCAUAUCCUCAUUAAACUCAUGAUCAUCUUAAUACUUGAUCACCUGCUCUUAGUACCAGCCAACCCAAUUAGGAAUUAUUAGUAGCUUCUAACGAGAGAAGUUUUUGGAACAUAAUACUUCGAGUACAUGCAUUUCUAUGUGAAGCUUUAUCUUUUCAUGGAAUAACUGGGGCACAUCUCCACUGUCCAUUACAUGAUGUUUGAUGGUAAUUUGACAUUUAUCCAGUUUCUUCCAAUUGCAUGGUGAGAGAGAGAUGCGAAGAGGCACAAUGACAUAGUAGAGAGAGGGAGAGAGUUGCAUCAAAAUCUUGAACUAAGGAAUGUAAACCCAUCAAUUUGUAGUUCUAUAUCAGGCACUAAAACUUAUACUAUAGAAUACAAAGACCAUUUAUAAGCCAUUUAGAAAAUAAGAGUCUUGAGUAAAAACAAAGUGCAAGAGAUUUACUAUAAGUUUAAUUUAGAGUACUUGGUGAUUCAAUCUCAAUACAACCUAUGGUAUGCAAGAAGGGGGAGGCCUUUAUCCAUAUGAAGGGUGAACAUGGUUCUAUAAGCAGCAGUCUUUGACUCAUCAUCAAGUUUGAAUUUGAAGAAAUGAAGAAGAGCAGCGGCCAAGAUCUUCAUCUGCCUAUAUGCAAAUUGCUUCCCUAAGCAGAUUCGAGGACCCCCCUAUCAUGCAUAGACAUCAAACACAUAUUAUAUAGAUGCAAGCAGGCACCAGCAAGCAUAUAGUUCCAGAUAUAUAUGUAGACGGUUCCUUUUGGUUAGAUUAAAAUACAUGACAUGCUACAUCUAUAAACUUAUUGCAUUAUCAAAUCGAAAUUUGUAAAUUGAAGCCCAUCUAAAUUGAUUAUUUAUAAACUAAACUUCAUAUCUGGAAUUCUUUUGGUAUAGUUGUAAACAAAUAGGGCAGCAAAAUGUUAUAAUCUCCAUGUUGAAGGGCCCUUUCUUUUGUUCUUGAGUUUUAAUUGCCUGGUAUACAACAAUUAAUUUGUCAAGCCAAUAGUUUAACUUGGCACCUUUCUCCAUGUGGCUCAUACUUUGAGUUUUGACUUCAGUUCAGAAAGGUGACACUUUAACACUUUCUCCCCCUUCUGAAAUUUGUCGAUUGAAAUCAUGUUCAUAGUAUCACUGUUUCCAACUAUAAGUGACUAUAGAUAUCAAAUGUUAUGAUGUAUAAAGUCAAUAAUUGGUGGAACUCUCCUCUCGAAAAUUCCCAUCUCGACUCUCUCUCUCUCCUCCCCCUUUUUCAAAGAAUAGAAAAGGCAAUUCAAAUAAAUAUAAAUGCAAACAAAUUAUUAUCAUGAUUAGUUCUCUCUGUAAAAUGGUAAUUUUCCAAAGCCAAACCAAAUCAGAAAGUGAAACUAGGUUGAACAAGGACAGAAUGUUGUACAUCUGGUCUACAAGUAGCCUAGAUAGCCUUAAAGAUUAUGUGAUUGACACAAAAGAUUUUGCCACAUCCUUUGCAGAAACCACAACAAUGUUAAUUGUCUUGCAAUUUAUAUAACAACAUUAUACUAAUUACCAUGAUUUAGAAACAAACAACAAGCUGUUACAUCACCAGCAAUUUCUGUUAUGUAGUAUCAAAAUUUAGCAUCCAACUAAUAACUAUAUUUGCCUCGUGACAUCUAAUUUGGAGAUCUAGGUGAUUUGAUUGCUCUAGACUAUACUUAAUAUCUGUUUAACAAAAUAUUGGUUUGCCUAUUGGUUGUUUUACUUCUUGGAAUAACUCUUGAGCUUGCAUGCUAACGUUGCUCACCAUUUUCAGAGACAAAAGGACCAUAUUAGGAAUAAUAUACUAAAAAAUUAAUUUGUGCUUCUACUAAUCUUGCAUGAAUUAAGUCACAUUCAUGGGAACUACCGUGAUGAGUGCAUAGAGGUCUAGAUGCCUUGUAUGCAACUCCAACUAGAAUAUACUACAUCAAUGGAUUAUAAAGUUUAAAGCAUCAUUCAUCUCUCCUUUACCUCCACUGCAUAUAAUUUCAACUUGCAUGUUGGACCACCAUAUAAGAAACCUGUUUGUUCAUCAAUUUGCUAUGCAUGCAUAAAAUGCUCUCUGUUCCUGUAAAAGGUAUUAGUUUCAACAUGUCCUAUCUGACAAAACCAUCAUGACACUACAUGUAUGGCCUCUAAUUAAUGCCUAAUAAAUAAAGUUAGGAAUUUGCAAAUGGGAAUCUGACUUCAAAACCUCAAGAGCUAAUCGUAUUUAUCACUGUAGUUAUGACUAGCUCAUUUGAGACUUAUUUGUGAUCAUGGUCUUUAUAGUUUCUAUAAUUCUUUUUCCAUUGUUUCUUUGAUAAAGUAUUGGGCCAUCUAUAGUUUCUUUAGUCUUGUAAGUUAAGCUAGAGAUAUUUCGUUUGUGAACUAAAGUGUAUCUCUUCUUUUCUUCUUCUUUCUUAACUUUUUUUUUUCUUUUUUGGAGGAGAGUCAUCGAAAAGUGUAUCAACAAGUUAUGCUCAUAAUUUUACAUGUUUGUAAAGCUUGUGCCUUUAAUUGUCUUAUGAAGAGGUUCCUCGAAGAUUCAUCUUUGGAGAAUCUUUUAUGCUUAUCGAAACUGCCAAAACUAGUCUAAACAUCUUAACCUAUAUUGUGUGGCUUCCAUAAACAACUUCUAUUCUGCAUCUUUUUGCAAAGCCGCAUUACUUUUUUUUUAGCUAUUGAGGAGUAAAGAAAGGAAUUUGGUUUUAUUCCUCAUCUAUUGAUAUACCAAAACAAGAUAAUCUCCUCUUCAAAUCCACCUUGAUGAAAAGCAAAGCAAAUUAGCAUGAUGCAAAAUUCUUGAAGGAUAUAUAUUCACCCUCAGCAGUCAGCUUACUCCUUUUUCAAUGAAGGAAAAUACCCUAUAUAAGCAAAUCACCAACAAAAAAGAAAAAAAUCUCUAUACUAGAGUACCUUCAAUGACUUCUUUGACAGGUUCAAUGAUUUCUUGGCUAUUAAUGUAUAGACAUACUCUUGCAUUAAGAAUCCAGGAAUUUCUUGGCCAAAGAUCCUUCAAAUGUGGUCCUGUUGAAUUGGCAAGUGAUACUAGACUUGUUGUAUGUUGAGGUAAAAUCCCUUGAAUUUUAAUUUUCUGAGAACAUCAUUUAAUUGCUUUUCAUUAAACCUGUCAUGAAAGACAUGUUUAUAUGAAAGAGAAAGUAAUUGACUUGUAUGAAAACAUUGUUCAAUUACUUUCCUACCUAAGAAGUAAGUUUUAUAAAGUAGGUGAAAAUUGUGGAUUUCUGAUUAUUCAUCUCUAGGACUCAUAUAUAGUUACAUGGUUAGAAAACAGAUUAUGAAUAUUACAAUUCCUAUCUAUAAAAUGCACCACUAGACUUCAACUACUGCAUUCCACAAAUUAACAGUCAUUUUCUUCUGAGAUCCUCAGAAAUUUCAGCAAAUAGAAUGCCCCUAUAUGCACAGAUGCCUUCUACUGCAGAUUUCUUUUGAGUAACAGAGAUGCUAACACAAUGUGCACUUGUAGACUAAUAAUACCUGCAUGCAGAAUAAGCUGCAUAGCCCUUUCAACCACUAUGUCUGAGGGAAAGGUUAGACUGGCUUGUCCAAGCCUCCCUAAGCCUCACAUAAUUGAUUGGUGCUUUUAUGCAUAACUGCACAUGAGGGCAAACUUGUCUCCAUAACUAAACAUUUACCAAGCAAAUCAUACUUCCUCUAAAAGCUGACAAAUUCCAUUCGUUUUAUCUUACCCGAAAAGUGAGAAGUUAUCCAUUUUCUGAGAUCAAAUGAUCUACACAACUAUCCUUCUUUUAUACUAGGCCACAUGACACCUUCCAACAGGGUGAUUGAGACUUUUUUUGGCAAUUCUCCCUCUCUAUCUCUAUCUCUCUUCUCCAUUCUCAUGAAAGGCAUUAUACAAGAACUAGAAGACCCAUUUAUUCAAGCUUCUCAGUUCUCUCUUUCAAAACCCUGUAUACAUCUUCUACCAAGUUAAAAAAAAAAAAAAUCUUGUAUACAUCAAGACCCUGUGCAUAACUGCAAUGAAGGGCAAACUUUUACAUUGCUAAGUAGCCCAACUUUUAUAAGAGUGCUGUUGACUUUCUCCUUUGUCUCUUAAGAAAAUGAAAAAAGGAGAAAUUUUCCACAUACUGAAUCAGAAAUCCUUCGUUAACUAUAUACAUACCAAAAUUUCUAAUUGCUGAAUUUUAAUUUGCUAGAGGUUAUCUUUACUCUUUCAAAGAAGUGGUCGUCUUUUACUUUUCUAAAGUGACAAUUGUUGACCAUCUUCCCCUUCUCUCCCCAGAGAGGUGAAAGUUGGCAAAGCAGUGGAACCCAUUGUUUGAAACAAACUUGUUCCCCUUUUUUCACAUAAAAAAUUAAAACAAUAAUUCCUCCCAUUCUAAUGCCUUCAGGGAAUCCUAAAAAGUUUCUCCCACUCUCUCUUCUGUGAUGCAGAAACAGGUAUUCUAACGAGCAGUGUACGGUCAAAUAUAUAAAUGAUUCUUUCAAAAUAAAAGAAUAUGAGGCAUGCAGCUUACAUUGAAGGCGAUGAAUUUAAAUGGACUCUCAGGCCUGAAAACUCCAUUCUCAAGCCAGCGCUCAGGCCGAAAUUCCUCAGCAUCUUCACCCCAGAGAUAAGUCAUCCUUCCCAUAGCAUAGGUGAGAUAGUUUACUGCAUCUCCUUUCUUAAUUUUGAAACCAUCUGGGAGGACAUCAUCCUCAUCUGCAAUCUUCACAUCCUGUUAACAAAGCAGUAAAAGAACAGACCAUACUAUUGCUCAAUUAUAAACUAUGAACCAACAAAGGCUCAUCAAAACAACUAGGUUUCGAUUAAUGGGUCAGACCACUGGGACAGCAGGGUAAAGCCGCAACGUCUCAGUGAGUGCAGCAUGGAGAUAAUGCAUCCUGUCAAUGACUUCUUCACUCAGGCAAGCUGAGAAUUCCAUGAUGUCAGUUCUACCUCCUUCAAAUUUUGUAACCUCCCUGAUUUCAAUGGCAAUCUUCUCCUGUACCAGAGGAUGCUUGCACAGCAUAAAGAAGAACCAUGAGAGGGUGUUUGCGGAGGUGUCUUUCCCUGCUAUUAGGAAAUUGAGGAUUAUGUCCCUCAGAUAUCUAUCAGUCAUGUUCUCCGGAUCCUUCUCACUUGCCAAUAUAAAUCUUGAUAAUAUAUCUUCUUUGCUUUUCUAUACAUGCAUCCAAGAAGGUACAAAAAAAUAGCAAAAAUAAUUCAGCAUUCACCAUAAAGUUCCAGGAGGUGUAUUAGUUUUCUAAGAGAACAACUGGAAUAUGCUUACAGCUUCUCGUCCGCUUUGCAGCUGCUCCCUCUUGUGGUAAAUCAGCUGGUACACAAAGUCAUCAAUAACUUUGAGGUUCCUCUUGAGCUGAGCCUCCAAUCCAAUGUUCAGAAGCCUCUU
rnacentral:lncRNA from 1 species